CCUACGGGAGGCAGCAGUGAGGAAUAUUGGUCAAUGGCCGGAAGGCUGAACCAGCCAUGCCGCGUGAAGGUCAGUGCCCUAUGGGCGUUAAACUUCUUUUGUGCGGGAGCAAUAAUGGUCACGUGUGGCCAGACGAGAGUACCGUACGAAUAAGCAUCGGCUAACUCAGUGCCAGCAGCCGCGGUGAUACGGGGUAUGCAAGCGUUAUCCGGAGUUAUUGGGUUUAAAGGGGGCGUAGGCUGUGAGGUAAGUCAGCGGUGAAAUGCCCCGGCGCAACGGUGUGAAGUGCCAUUGAUACUGGCUUGCUUGAAUGCGGAUGCCGUGGGAGGAAUGUGUGGUGUAGCGGUGAAAUGCAUAGAUAUCACACAGAACACCGAUUGCGAAGGCAUCUCACGAAUCCGCGAUUGACGCUGAUGCACGAAAGCGUGGGUAUCAAACAGGAUUAGAUACCCUUGUAGUC
rnacentral:rRNA from 1 species